rnacentral:rRNA from 1 species
GACGUAGGGGGCAAGCGUUGUCCGGAUUCAUUGGGCGUAAAGCGCGGGCAGGCGGCCCGCUCAGUCGGCCGUGAAAGCGCCGGGCUCAACUCGGCGAGGUCGGGCGAUACUGGCGGGCUCGAGGCUGGUAGAGGGCGGUGGAAUUCCGGGUGUAGUGGUGGAAUGCGUAGAGCUCCGGAGGAACACCAGUGGCGAAGGCGGC